AGAGUUUGAUCAUGGCUCAGGACGAACGCUGGCGGCGUGCUUUAGACAUGCAAGUCGAACGGAGUAGCAAUACUCAGUGGCAAACGGCGGAGUAAGAUAUAAGCAACGUGCCCUGAAGACUGGGAUAGCCAGCCGAAAGGCUGAGUAAUACCAGAUGUGGCCCUUUGAGGACAUCCUCGAAGGAUUAAACGGUUUUUCGCUUCAGGAGCGGCUUAUAGCCUAUCAGCUAGUUGGUGGGGUAAUGGCCUACCAAGGCUACGACGGGUAGGGGGUCUGAGAGGAUGAUCCCCCCGAGUGGGACUGAGACACGGCCCACACACCUACGGGUGGCAGCAGUUUGGAAUCUUGCCCAAUGGGGGAAACCCUGAGGCAGCGACGCCGCGUGGAGGAUGAAGGAUCUAGGUCUGUAAACUCCUUUUAUCGGGAAAGACUUAGGACGGUACCCGAUGAAUAAGCACCGGCUAACUACGUGCCAGCAGCCGCGGUAAGACGUAGUGCAAGCGUUGUCCGGAUUUACUGGGCGUAAAGGACGCGUAGGCGGUUCGUUAAGUGUGAAGUGAAAUCUCCAGGGCUCAACCCGGAAACUGCUUCGCAUACUGGCGGACUGGAGGGAUGCAGAGGUAAGUAGAAUUCCUGGUGUAGCGGUGAAAUGCGUUGAUAUCAGGAGGAAUACCGAUGGCGAAGGCAGCUUACUGGGCAUCAUCUGACGCUGAGGCGUGAAAGCGUGGGUAGCAAACAGGAUUAGAUACCCUGGUAGUCCACGCCCUAAACGAUGGAUACUAGACGUAAGAGGUAUCGACCCCUCUUGUGUCGCAGUUAACGCACUAAGUAUCCCGCCUGGGGACUACGGCCGCAAGGUUGAAACUCAAAUGAAUUGACGGGGACCCGCACAAGCGGUGGAGCAUGUGGAUUAAUUCGAUACUAACCGAAGAACCUUACCCAGGUUUGACAUCGAUCGCAAGACCGAGAGAUCGGUCCCUCCCCCCAAAAGGGGGACGUGAAGACACUUGUUGCAUGGCUGUCGUCAGCUCGUGCCGUGAGGUGUACGGUUAAGUCCGCCAACGAGCGCAACCCUCGUCCUAUGUUGCCAGCGAGAAAGUCGGGAACUCAUAGGAGACCGCCGGUGUAAGCCGGAGGAAGGUGGGGAUGACGUCAAGUCAGCAUGGCAGUUACGCCUGGGGCUUCACACAUGCUACAAUGGGCGAAACAAAGGGCAGCAAUAUCGCGAGAUGGAGCAAAUCCCAAAAAUACGCCCCCAGUUCAAAUUGCAGUCUGCAACUCGACUGCAUGAAGGCGGAAUCGCUAGUAAACGCAGGUCAGCUAUACUGCGUUGAAUACGUUCCCGGGUCUUGUACACACCGCCCGUCAAGUCACCUGAAUUGUCUUCACCCGAAGUCUGUGGCCU
rnacentral:rRNA from 1 species